CCUGGCGGCCCUAGCGCGGUGGUCCCACCUGACCCCAUGCCGAACUCAGAAGUGAAACGCCGUAGCGCCGAUGGUAGUGUGGGGU
rnacentral:rRNA from 1 species